CAUUCUUAGUAUUAUUUGAAAAACGUUUUUGAUAGGCUGUAUCAAGUUAUCAUUGGGAUAUGGUUUUUUGUGACGAGUGCACCAUGUUUGUCAUCAAUAUUCAUCCAGUCAAUCUUAAUAGGCAUGUUUCCCAAUGAUUGGAAAAUCGCUAAAAUUACUCCGAUUCAUAACCAAAAGCUAAUUCAUAACCAAAUCUAUAAUUAGUUACAUAACUGUAAUCUCCUUUCAAAUUGCCAGCAUGCACGGAUUUAGACCACUUCACUCGACUGUUACAGCAUUGCUGAACAUAACCAACGAGUGGUAUACAUGCAAAUAUUGACAUUGGGAAACUAAAUGGGAUUGUGUUUCUGGAUCUGGAAAAAAGCAUUCGAUACCGUCGACCACAAUAUACUUUUAGACAAAAUAGCAAUUUAUGGAAUAAAUGGAAUGGCACAUUGCUACCUGGAGUCGUAUCUAUGAAACAGGACCCAGUACUGUUGUGUGAACGGUAAACUAUCAAAUCCAUCAAUUAUGAAAAAAGGCAUACCUCAUGGUUCUGGUAAAGGCUCAUUGUUAUUUCUGAUUCACAUCAAUGAUAUAUUUAGCAAAGUGCCGUAAUAUUAAACGCCAAUUAAGACAAAACAAGAUAUGAAUUUUUUUUUUUUUUUUUUUCUGUGCUGGUGUUGUGUACUCAGGUGAAUAAUAUGAUUGUGAUGUUACUCUGAGUGCAUAUCCACACCGGGCGAGCUUGAAAAAUAUGCCCGGCCACGGUGGGAUUCGAACCUACGACCUUUGGAAUACUAGUCCAAUGCUCUUCCAACUGAGCUAC